rnacentral:rRNA from 1 species
UACAGAGGGUGCAAGCGUUAAUCGGAAUUACUGGGCGUAAAGCGUGCGUAGACGGUCAUGUAAGUCGGGUGUGAAAGCCCCGGGCUCAACCUGGGAAUUGCAUUCGAGACUGCAUGGCUAGGAUGCGGAAGAGGGAAGCGGAAUUUCCGGUGUAGCGGUGAAAUGCGUAGAUAUCGAGAGGAACACCGGUGGCGAAGGCGGCGAUCUGGACGAUGACUGACGCUGAGACGCGAAAGCGUGGGGAGCAAACAGG